rnacentral:rRNA from 1 species
UGUGCGAAAGCAUGAUAAGGGAACUCCGAGUGCCAGCAUCUAAUGCUGGCUGUCCUUGUGCCUAAAACGCACAAGAUAGCAAGGGCCGGGUAAGACCGGUGCCAGCCGCCGCGGUAACACCGGCGGCCCGAGUGGUAGCCGCUAUUAUUGGGUUUAAAGGGUUUGUAGCCGGUUUGAUAAGUCCUCUGGGAAAUCUGGUUGUUUAAUAAUCAGACUGCCAAGGGAUACUGUCGAACUUGAGACCGGGAGAGGUAAGAGGUACUUCAGGGGUAGGAGUGAAAUCUUGUAAUCCCUGGGGGACCAUCUGUGGCGAAGGCGUCUUACCAGAACGGGUCUGACGGUGAGGGAUGAAAGCUGGGGGCGCAAACCGGAUUAGAUACCCGGGUAGUCCCAGCCGUAAACGAUGCUCGCUAUGUGUCAGGUACGGUGUGACCGUAUCUGGUGCCGUAGGGAAGCCGUGAAGCGAGCCACCUGGGAAGUACGGUCGCAAGACUGAAACUUAAAGGAAUUGGCGGGGGAGCACUACAACGGGUGGAGCCUGCGGUUUAAUUGGAUUCAACGCCGGAA